CACCAGACUCCUACGGGAGGCAGCAGUGGGGAAUAUUGCACAAUGGGGGAAACCCUGAUGCAGCGACGCCGCGUGAGCGAUGAAGUAUUUCGGUAUGUAAAGCUCUAUCAGCAGGGAAGAAGAUGACGGUACCUGACUAAGAAGCCCCGGCUAACUACGUGCCAGCAGCCGCGGUAAUACGUAGGGGGCAAGCGUUAUCCGGAUUUACUGGGUGUAAAGGGAGCGUAGACGGCGAUGCAAGCCAGAUGUGGAAGCCCGGGGCUCAACCCCGGGACUGCAUUUGGAACUGUGUGGCUGGAGUGUCGGAGAGGCAGGCGGAAUUCCUAGUGUAGCGGUGAAAUGCGUAGAUAUUAGGAGGAACACCAGUGGCGAAGGCGGCCUGCUGGACGAUGACUGACGUUGAGGCUCGAAAGCGUGGGGAGCAAACAGGAUUAGAUACCCCAGUACA
rnacentral:rRNA from 1 species